UCCACCCCGUAAAAGAUGAGUGCUAGGUGUUAGGGGUUUCAAUCCCUUUAGUGCCGCAGCUAACGCAAUACGCACUCCGCCUGGGGAGUACUGUCGCAAGACUGAAACUCAAAGGAAUUGACGGGGGCCCGCACAAGCGGUGGAGCAUGUGGUUUAAUUAGAAGCAACGAGAAGAACCUUCCCAGGUCUUGACAUCCCGCUGACCGCUCUGGAGACAGAGUUUCCCUUCGGGGCAGCGGUGACAGGUGGUGCAUGGUUGUCGUCAGCUCGUGUCGUGAGAUGUUGGGUUAAGUCCCGCAACGAGCGCAACCCUUAUUUUUAGUUGCCAGCAUUCAGUUGGGCACUCUAGAGAGACUGCCGUCGACAAGACGGAGGAAGGCGGGGAUGACGUCAAAUCAUCAUGCCCCUUAUGACCUGGGCUACACACGUGCUACAAUGGUUGGUACAACGGGAUGCUACCUCGCGAGAGGAUGCCAAUCUCUUAAAACCAAUCUCAGUUCGGAUUGUAGGCUGCAACUCGCCUACAUGAAGCCGGAAUCGCUAGUAAUCGCGGAUCAGCAUGCCGCGGUGAAUACGUUCCCGGGCCUUGUACACACCGCCCGUCACACCACGGGAGUUUGCAACACCCGAAGUCGGUGAGGUCACCACAACGUGCCAACAUAACGCGUAGUGUAAUAC
rnacentral:rRNA from 1 species